rnacentral:rRNA from 1 species
CCUACGGGAGGCAGCAGUGGGGAAUAUUGCACAAUGGGGGAAACCCUGAUGCAGCGACGCCGCGUGAGUGAAGAAGUAUUUCGGUAUGUAAAGCUCUAUCAGCAGGGAAGAAAUACUGACCUUACGGUCAGCAGACGGUACCUGACUAAGAAGCCCCGGCUAACUACGUGCCAGCAGCCGCGGUAAUACGUAGGGGGCAAGCGUUAUCCGGAUUUAGUGGGGGUAAAGGGAGCGCAGACGGCAGCGCAAGUCUGAAGUGAAAUCCCAUGGCUUAACCAUGGAACUGCUUUGGAAACUGUGCAGCUGGAGUGCAGGAGAGGUAAGCGGAAUUCCUAGUGUAGCGGUGAAAUGCGUAGAUAUUAGGAGGAACACCAGUGGCGAAGGCGGCUUACUGGACUGUAACUGACGUUGAGGCUCGAAAGCGUGGGGAGCAAACAGGAUUAGAUACCCUUGUAGUC